GGACCAAGGAGUCUAGCAUGUGCGCGAGUCGUUGGGACUUGCGAAACCUAAAGGCGAAAUGAAAGUGAAGGCCCGCCCCGCGCGGGCCGAGGGAGGAUGGGCCGCGUCACGACGCGGCCCCGCACUCCCGGGGCGUCUCGUUCUCAUUGCGAGAAGAGGCGCACCCAGAGCGUACACGCUGGGACCCGAAAGAUGGUGAACUAUGCCUGGUCAGGACGAAGUCAGGGGAAACCCUGAUGGAGGUCCGUAGCGAUUCUGACGUGCAAAUCGAUCGUCGGAACUGGGUAUAGGGGCGAAAGACUAAUCGAACCAUCUAGUAGCUGGUUCCCUCCGAAGUUUCCCUCAGGAUAGCUGGCGCUCGCUUUUGCGAGUCUCAUCCGGUAAAGCGAAUGAUUAGAGGCAUUGGGGUCGAAACGGCCUCAACCUAUUCUCAAACUUUAAAUGGGUGAGAUCUCCGGCUUGCUCAAACUUGAAGCCGCGAGAUUAACUUAAUAUAAGGAUCAGAGUGCCAAGUGGGCCACUUUUGGUAAGCAGAACUGGCGCUGUGGGAUGAACCAAACGCAGAGUUAAAGCGCCAAAAUCGACGCUUAUGGGAUACCAUGAAAGGCGUU
rnacentral:rRNA from 9 species